CCAGAGGACCUGGAGGAAACCCACGCAGGAAGGACCUGAUAACACAACAGGAUCUACUAAAUGUUAUGAUAAAGUACCAAAGUAUUUGUGUGUUACUUGAAAAAAAAAACUAUAUUUUGGUAUUCAAGACUAUCAGAAGCAUGAUGAUUCUCAUUCUCUCAGAUAGUAAAGUCAUCCACAAUGGAGAUUCUCCCUCACUGUACAAUCUAAAGGCGCCUUCUGAAAAUACACAUUAAGAAACCGCCAUCCUAGAAAAAGCAGAGGGACACCACAUCUGGAGUAAACGCUGUCGUCGACACACAUCUGCACAUGACACUCUAAAAAGCACGUUCAUCUUCACAUAAGAAGCACAAAGUUGGGGUGGGUAGAAGGAGGAAUAAAUCAAAUAUAGCCUACACCAGACCUGAAGGUCUUAGCAGCACCAGCUUACUGGCUCACUUGGUGUACAUGCAGCCUACUCUGUUUGUGGUGGCAGAUGUCAACUCAAAGAAAGACAAACUCUAAAAAGACUGGAGUGCAUCCCACCCAGGGGCUUCUCAAGUGUUGGUAAAUAUGGCUUAUGAUGAGUUGAGAUACUUGGGCCUAACAUCUUUAAAUAUGAUGCCCUGCACUCGACUCUGACAGGAUAAGCCCUGGCGCUCUGCCCCUCUCAAAUGUAAUCAAAGUCAACGUCCACUAUAUUUUGUAACUUCAAGGGUGAGCUUGACUAGAUGACACUUUUACGUAGCUGUAAUGGAGCCAUCUUCCAAACCUACUUAUCCAGGGCAGGGUCACUGGUCACAGGGAGUUGGUGCCCAUCUUGGCAAGCAUUGGGCACAGGGCAGGGGCAUCACCGGGACAGGGUACCAACCUUUCUCAGGAUGAACACACACACACUGGGGCCAUAUCAGCAAUCCACUGAACAUGGCUUUGGGCUAUGAGAGGAAACCCAUACAGACACGGGUAGAACAUGCAACCACAACAUGGGGAAAAUCCAGGAUGUGAACCUGGGUCUCCUUACUGACAGACAGCAUUGCUACCACUGUGCUGCCAUUUAAGGUGCUUUCUGUUAAAAAGAAAACUCCACUGAAUUGACGGCUACAUCUGCUCUAUGGUUUCAGCAAGUUAAUGUGCCUUGGUGUCUCUCAAUUUAGGUGGCUAGUCAACAGCUCCAGUUAGACUUACCAGGGGGCUCACUGACCAAGAGUUCACUUUGGGCUGUUCCACUCCAACAUGUUCCUAUGCUGGAGGCUCCUCUACAGACCAACACACAACCACCACUGUGCCCUUAAGAAUACUCCGCUGAAGAUGUCCUAGUGUUUAGCAAGAAGAUAAAAAGUUAACAGGAAAUACAGAACAAGCCCUGGAAGCUCACAAAGUCAAAGGACUAGAGAAGCUCAGGUAGUUGAACAAGCUGCAGCCACGCAGGGCAGAGCUGGGCCUUCAAGAGACACAAGAUGGUAAGGAGUUCAGAUUGUCCACAGCCUCGAGGACAAAGACAUCUUAAAGACUGGAGGAGAGUGAAGGAACACACACACAUGGUGAGCUGUAGACCAGGACAGCCACUGUUGACAGGAACUUGAAGACAAAAGACAGAAAGGGAAAUAGUGGGGUGACAGUGAGCAACAAAAUAUUUGAGUAGCAGACACCCCAACGUUGGGUAGCAGUUGGGGGCCCAGCCUUGAAAUACUCAGUUAAACAUGAAGAUAGAAAGGAAGAUGUGAAGAAGCAGCAUCAGGAAUGUCCUGUUCAGUAGCUGACAUCAGCAACUACAGUACAUCUAUAGAGGGAGAGGCAAACAUCCAGGUUGAACCUGCUGGACGUUCAGAGGUUAAAGGCACCACAAGGAAAUAGUAGGAAGACAACGGGAGAGCUGGGCUCAGACCUGCGGUCUGAAAGAUGACAAUGAAUGGAAGAUCUUCAGACAAUCUGUAAAAAGGUGACAAAGGUGACAAGUCAGACUCAGUCCUGGAGCUUCCCUGUGGCUGCAAGUAUUUGUUCUCACCCGUUCAUAGAGCUGGUGUCUUCUCUUACAUCUUGCAUUCUAAAAAGCACAGCAGAGUUCGUUUUACAUUCAUAAGCCAUUUAGAAAUAUUUGUGCUUUUAUUACAGUUUUAAAUGCCCAUCUCCCUUUUAUGUUUCUUUUUAAUGUGCAUUUUUAGGUAGGUUCACAUAUAAAUACAACAAGCACCUCCUAUGAUAGCCAUGUCUGUCUGUCUGUCUGUCUGUCUGUCUCAAAGUGACAUGCGGCCCACUUAACUCUUGGAGAUUUGUUCAGUUUCCACUGAGAUAUCACAAUAAUUUGACAUUUCAAAAUCUCAUUGAAAAGCUCUGCUGAAUCGGUCAACUCCUCUACCUUCAAACAGAGAAACAAAUCUGUGGGACUUCAACUAUCAACCAAUUUACUGUUUAAAUUUGAUCUUGAGAGUGAAUGGUUUAUCGUUGUUUUUUUACUUGUUUGACAGAUACUGUGGACGGCCAAGCAGUUAUGUUUGAUAAGGCAGGCACACCUUGGGAUGGAGCAGGGCAGAUGUGCACAGUUUGGUCUGCCCGAGUGUGACCAUACAAGAAGUGCCAUGCCACAAGAUCAGUAUGUGGACCUGGUAUUCAUUUCCUUGAUUUACACAUGGUAGCCCUAAAGAAGAGUGGCAAAGGCUGCAUGGACUGGAAGUCACUAUCACAAGCUGUUUCAAAGCAUGCUGGCUGGUGGGCAGUCCUCUUUUGGCAAGUCCAGCUGGGUGUACGCAGAACACUGCAUGCAUCUCAUUCCUCCUUAUGUGUUAAG